AUGAACAUCGUCAAGACUUUUUUAAUAUGCACAGUGUUUUCACACAUUAAAACAGAAAUUCAGAUUUUAAUUAACCCAGUGAAUUUGCCUGAAAAUAUGCUCCCUGGAACACAACUAAGUCGUGCUUAUGAUAAAGAUGUGGCUGGAAAGGGAGAUGUCUACCGUUUUCUGAAUAAAACAUAAGAUUUUGCCAUCGAUGCAAGUUCUGGUGUAAUCACUGCUACCAAAAUUUUUAAUUAUGAAACAGAUCCAAUAAGGUUUCUUCUGAUAGUUGAUACUGGGAGGCUCUAUAGACAUGAUUUGACCAUUAAUAUUAUUGAUGUUCCCGAAUCUCCAAACUGUACUGCUGAUCCCAAAUUUUCUUCAGGCACAGCUACCUUAGAAAUUGAUGAGGACUGUCCAUUAUUUCAGUCCAUUUAUAGAGUGACGGCCACAGAUGAGGUCUUCGCAAAUGGUGAUAGGGUGGAUUACACCAUUGAGACACAGUUAUCUGGACCAAAGAAAGGAGCAAACUCUUUUGGAACGGAUCCUAUAAGUGAUGUUGUUAGAUUAAGAGGUGAAGAUCCCCUGGAUUUGGAUACUGGAUAUCAUGUUUUCCACCUUGUACUGAAAGCAACAGAUACAACAGGUCUGUUCUGUCAAGGGACACUAAUUAUCUUGAUUAGAAACAUAAAUGAUGAGAAGCCUCAAUUUGAGCCAUUUCCUUUGGAUUCUAUUAAUGUGACUGAGAAGAAAUCUGUUGGAGAAAUUAUAGCAAGAGUAAAAGCAACAGAUCGAGAUGAAGAUAGCAGUAUCAUUUAUUCCUUUAAGACUCAGCAGAAAAUGUUUGGUUUGGACCCCUUCACAGGAACAAUCACUCUUCUUCAGCCUUUGAAUCUUGACAACCCAAGUAACUCCAAAAUCUACUCUUUGGAAACUGAGGCAACAGAUAAUGGGAAUAAUACCAGCAGCUAUAUGUUUACAGUUUUUGUGGAGAAUGUAGAUGAUCCUAUUUCCUGUGAUCCAAGUUUUUUAACAGGAGCAGGUGUUUCAGUGUCUGUUCCUGAAAACAUUCCUGCAUCUACUUUUAUAUGUAUGAUUCUUUCAAGAGAUCCAGAUCUAGGACAGGAAGUUGAACAUUUCCAUUUAGUGAUUGCUGUGAGAAAUAGGCAAAACCUGUCUGUCUUUGGAGUUAUGCGUUAGCACCAUCAGUAUCAACGUCCAGAAUGUCAGUGAUGAGAGUCCUGUUCUUACAUAUAUACCAGAUGCACCUAUAAAUAUCUAUGAAAAUCUGUCUGUUGGAACAAAGUUGGUCAGGUUGACAGCAACUGAUAGAGACAUAAGGCACUCGGUACAUUAUCAACUUAUAGGGACACAAAAAUAAUUUUCUAUAAAUGAAGAUUCAGGAGAGGUCACACUUGCCUAUCCUUUGGAUUAUGAAGACAUAGCCACACCAAAGUCUUGGGUAUUAUAUUUUAGAGCUUAUGACAAUGAGCGAAUACAUUCAACAACUGGGACAGUCAGUGUUUCUACAAGAUGUAAAUAACAAUCCACCUCAAUGCUCGCAGGAUAUUACCAUAAUUGAACAUCCUGAAAACAUCCCAGUUGAAACUCUUUCUUCUAGUCUCUAACUUGUACAGAUAAGGAUGGAACUGCUCCCAAUAACAAUAUAACGUAUCAUUUGAUUAUGGAUGCCUUUUCAAAUGGAACAUUUACCCUCACAAACAAUGAACUGAGAAUUGGACCUAGACAUCUAGAUUUUGAUAAUGCUAUUUUUGCAGGAAUGCAUUUCAAACAUACAUUGUUUGUGAAAGUGUCUAAUGAAGGAAGUCCUGUACUAUCAACAAUUAUUACACUCAUUGUAAGGGUGAGUCUCAUAAAUGAACUGAAUCCAAUUGGAAGUGCGUCGGCAUUUACCUUCAGUGUAUUUGAAAAUAGUCCAGUUGAUACACUAGUUGGAAAAGUUACAUUUACCGAUGCAGACUGGCCAUUUAAUAAUAUGGAAUAUACCAUUGUUGGAGGCAAUUUGGGAACACCUCCCAAAUUUUACAUUGAACCAGAUACAGGAGUGAUAAAGCUAUUAGAUUCACUAAACAGAGAAAUUGAAUCACAGUACAAGAUAGCUGUAAAAGUAACAGACUUGGACAACGAUGCCAUCCCUGACCCCCUCAGACAGAGAAGUGGUACUGCUCAGGUGACCAUCAAUGUUCUGAAUAUGAAUGAUGAGCCUCCUGUAUGCAAUCCACCACAUUUGGAAACUCAAAUUUAUUCCACUGUUGAGUCCUUUCAUUCAGCUCAACUGUUCAGACAAAGAUUCUCCACAGGAACAUCUGAGCUAUUCAAUUGUAGGAGGAAAUACAAAUAAUCAAUUCACACUUAGGAGACUAGGUGUUAAUCCUCCUUUCUGGCCAUCACACAAAAUUUCCAGUAUGAGGUAUUUCAGUGGGUUCAGAGCCCUAUGACUUUCCAGCUACUUAUUGAAGUCACUGAUGAAUUAGGUGGGAAUAAGCCUAGUCAGCUGUCAGCCACUACAACAGUCAUAAUUCAUGUCCUUCCCUGGACCACAACACAGCCAACUUCUUCCACAAAAACAGCUACAACUACAAUUACUACUUCUGUAUUAAUAAAGAUUUCAUAUUAUUGGAUCCCUGAUAACUGGAUUCCUGCAUUAUUAACAGGAGCUCUUUUUGUGAUGUGCCUCUAUACUGUUGCAUGGUGCCUCUUCAAAGAUUCUCCCAUUUUUUCAAGAUUAUUUCCCCACUGUCACAAACAUCACCAGAGCCAACCAAGUCUCACAACCAAAGGGCCUGGACUGGUACCAAGUGACAGGAAUACAAUAACUAUUUGACAGUAAGACAGGAGAAGUCAAGAUGUUGAACAAUUAAGAAAAGAAUGUGAUGCCAAUGGAAGACACUUGA
rnacentral:sRNA from 1 species